CCUACGGGUGGCAGCAGUGAGGAAUAUUGGUCAAUGGACGAGAGUCUGAACCAGCCAAGUAGCGUGAAGGAUGACUGCCCUAUGGGUUGUAAACUUCUUUUAUAUGGGAAUAAAACUUUCUACGUGUGGGAUUUUGUAUGUACCAUAUGAAUAAGGAUCGGCUAACUCCGUGCCAGCAGCCGCGGUAAUACGGAGGAUCCGAGCGUUAUCCGGAUUUAUUGGGUUUAAAGGGAGCGUAGGUGGAUGGUUAAGUCAGUUGUGAAAGUUUGCGGCUCAACCGUAAAAUUGCAGUUGAUACUGGCAGUCUUGAGUACAGUAGAGGUGGGCGGAAUUCGUGGUGUAGCGGUGAAAUGCUUAGAUAUCACGAAGAACUCCGAUUGCGAAGGCAGUUCACUGGACUGCAACUGACACUGAGGCUCGAAAGUGUGGGUAUCAAACAGGAUUAGAUACCCGUGUAGUC
rnacentral:rRNA from 1 species